CAAAAACCUUUUUCUCCUUCUCCAUCAUUUCUUCUUCUACAUCGUUUCUCUCUCUCUCCAUCUCUUCUUUCUCUGCAUCUCCUCUCUAUCUGGAGAGCUUCUCUCUCUCUCUCUCUGCAUCUCUUCUCUCUCUGGAUCUCUUCUCUCUCAAUACUCGAUCUACUUUUUCGAUUUGCUUCUCUCUGGAUCUCAUCUCUCUGGAUCUGCGCUCUCUCUCCAUCAUCUCUCUGGAUCUGCUCUUUCUAACGUCGUCGUCGUUGGUAGAGCACUUGUCGUCGUCGUUAGUUAUGGAUUGUUGAAUCCAUUAUUCAGUUUGGAAUCUUCAUAAUAUCACGGUUUUCCUAAUGGAUUGUGGUGUUGUUGGUUGGACUAAAGGCGACUAUAAAGCUUAUGAGGAAUAUAGCUUUGUGUCCUACUGUUAAAGAAGUUGUUAUAUGUGAAGGAUCAAUCCCUUGUUUGGUUCCAAUGUUGAGGUGGGGGAUUUCAGGUGUGAGAAUUGCAGCUGGAAAAAUGUUGGUGGUGUUUGCUUGCAUUUGUAAAAGGUUGUGGUGUGGAGCUAUAGUGGUGCUUGUUCUCAUCCAUGUUCUUCCUUGUUUCUUUGCUAUAUGUAGAUUCAUAUGUAUGAUCAUGAUCAUGGUAAAUAAUAUUAUGAUCAUGAUGCUACACGUAAAAUACAAAGCAAUAAGGUCUUACAAAUUUUGAAAACCUAUGGAAAUAAUGUUAAAGUAUUUAAAAGGUCUUACAAGACUAUUAUAAGGUGUUUAAAAUGUGUAUAAAGAUUUUAAAAAGCAUUUGAAAGA